ACGCUCGACACCUACGGGGGGCAGCAGUGGGGAAUAUUGCACAAUGGGGGAAACCCUGAUGCAGCGACGCCGCGUGAGUGAAGAAGUAUUUCGGUAUGUAAAGCUCUAUCAGCAGGGAAGAAAAUGACGGUACCUGAGUAAGAAGCCCCGGCUAACUACGUGCCAGAAGCCGCGGUAAUCUGAGCGGGCUGGCAAGGC
rnacentral:rRNA from 1 species